UACGUAGGGGGCGAGCGUUGUCCGGAGUUACUGGGCGUAAAGCGCACGCAGGCGGUCUGCUAAGUUUGGAGUGACAGUUGGUGGCUUAACUGCCAAAGUGCUUCGAAAACUGACAGACUUGAGGGCUUCAGAGGGACACGGAAUUCCGGGUGGAGUGGUGAAAUGCGUAGAGAUCCGGAGGGAACACCAAAGGCGAAGGCAGUGUCCUGGGGAGUACCUGACGCUCAGGUGCGAAAGCCAGGGGAGCGAACGGGG
rnacentral:rRNA from 1 species